rnacentral:rRNA from 1 species
GGAAGUAAAAGUCGUAACAAGGUUUCCGUAGGUGAACCUGCGGAAGGAUCAUUAUUGAUUUUUCUAAUGAGGAGUUGAGUUGUUGCUGGCCUCUGGGGAUUAAUUUCUCCAAGGCAUGUGCACACCUUCUCUUUCAUCCACACACCCCUGUGCACUUGUGAGACAGUAAGGUUUCUUUUUUUGGGGGGCCUUGCUGUCUACUUAAUCUACACACACUCUAUUUAUUUUAAAACGAAUGUAAUUGAUGUAACGCAUCUAAUACUAAGUUUCAACAACGGAUCUCUUGGCUCUCGCAUCGAUGAAGAACGCAGCGAAAUGCGAUAAGUAAUGUGAAUUGCAGAAUUCAGUGAAUCAUCGAAUCUUUGAACGCACCUUGCGCUCCUUGGUAUUCCUUGGAGCAUGCCUGUUUGAGUAUCAUGAAAUCUUCAAAGUAAACCUUUUUUGUUAAUUCAAUUUAGGUCUCUUACUUUGGUCUUGGAGGUUAUUGCAGCUUCACACCUGCUCCUCUUUGUGCAUUAGCUGGAUCUCAGUGUGUUAUGCUUGGUUCCACUCAGCGUGAUAAGUUAUCUAUCGCUGAGGACACUGGUAAAAAGGUGGCCAAGGUAAACGCAGAUGAACCGCUUCCAAUAGUCCAUUGACUUGGACAAUUAUUUAUGAUCUGAUCUCAAAUCAGGUAGGACUACCCGCUGAACUUAAGCAUAUCAAUAAGCGGAGGA